rnacentral:tRNA from 1 species
GCCGGGGUGGCGAAACUGGCAGACGCGAUAGGUUUAGGACCUAUUGCCGCAAGGCUUGCAGGUUCAACUCCUGUCCCCGGCA